rnacentral:rRNA from 1 species
GGGUGCGAUUAUACCAGCACUAAUGCACCGGAUCCCAUCAGAACUCCGAAGUUAAGCGUGCUUGGGUGAGAGUAGUGCUAGGAUGGGUGACCUCUUGGGAAGUCCUCGUGUUGCACCCC